rnacentral:rRNA from 1 species
AUGCCGAAGGGGGCAAACGGAUUGAGGCCGGGGCCGAGCGCGCGGAGGUUCUUGUGGAGCAUCGGCGACGAGGAGGUAGAGGAGGAAGACGGGCGGCGGCGCACCAUAGUAUGUCGAAUCUGGGUUGGUUUUUUCGGGGGGAGACGGAUGAGAUCAGAGGAAGGCGUCGACGGAGUUGGGGAUCAUGUCUUCCGUCCGGAAAUCAAUCAAAAAUCGCAAAUUUCGAUCGACCGGAGGUGGGGAAGGCGACGGACGGCGACGAGGAGGGGAUUGGGAUGA